GGCUGGGCCUGCGGGCCGCGGGACAGGGAGGGCGCGGGGCCGGGCUGCUGGGUCCGAGCUCUGGGCACGAUGUCCUCCCUGACGCCGCCAGGACAGCGCCUGGCCCAGGCCUGGGCCUGGUGAACGCGGGUUUCUUCCUCUGAGGUUCAACACUCCGCACUUGGGUUGGCUCCUUUCAUCCUGAUUGGUUUAUUCGCCACGUGCCAAGCACUGAAGAGGGCGUGCAGGAUGGAUACUUUUGGAGCAAAAAUAGCCCUGCUUCUUUCCUGGGGAGGGAUCGCACUUUCUAGAGGGGCGGUUUUCAAAGUAUGGUCUCAGGACUAGCAGCAUCGAAAAUGCUGGGAACUCGUUAGAAAAGCAAGUUUUCAAUCCUCGCCCCAGAAUCAGAAACUCGGGGUGGAGCCCAGCAAUGUGUGUCCUGACAAGUCCACGCGCGACCCCAGUGCUGGCUAGGGUUGCAAAGCCACUGCUCUACGGAGCGAGCGAGAUCCAUCAUAGUGGGACAAGCGAGAGGAUGAGGCCAUACAGACCAGGGUUUUAGCAAACCACAAGAAGCACUUCAUAAACUGGUGACUCAAGUAGAAAAGUACUGUUCCACGCACUUGACACCAAUCCACCCAUUUCACCUGCAUGAUCACCCUGCCUUUGCAUGAGUUGCCGGUGUGGACAGAGCAGGGACACAGUGAGACAGCGGAUUCCAGCUUUGCUCUUACCUAGAACACACUGCCUCUCACCAGGAAUCGUCCUUCCAUUUUAUGCAGUUAUCCCAGACAAUGAUGCACAAGCUUUGGGAAAAAAACCCCACAAGUCCAAAGGUGUACUUCAUAAUAAAGCACCUGGUCUCACCGUUGUUCUACAGCACAGCAGGCCAGGCUGGAUUGGAGAGUCACCUUCAAGAGCCAUGAUCACUUCACGAGGACCUCUGCUGGUGUCUCCUCUGCUGUCCUGGAGGUCCCAGAGGACAGGAGCUGUGUCCUGUGACCUGCUGACCGCAACGCGUAGCACCUGGAAGGUGUUCAUAGGAUAGUUCCUCAAAUGAGUCAAUGGACAGUGAAUGGGGAAUGGAGUGGACGGUGGACGGGAGGGCAAGUUGUUUCCAUGAAAGGAGGAAAUUCCUGUGGAGGGAGUGGACAAGGCAUGCCUGUUUGAGCCACGCGCAGAUGAGAACACCUAUGCUGCAUGAGUCAGAAGCAAGUAUCAGAAGAUGAUGGAUCUCAUUACUUAGAGAAAAGAAGGCCUCAAACCCAUUGCACAUGGGUAGGGAGGAUGAAAAGAAACACCCACAGAGUUAAGCCACAACACUGGGAAAACUG
rnacentral:lncRNA from 10 species